GGCACAACUUAAAAUGUCUGCUAGGCAGAGGAUUCAGUGUUGUUAGGCCACGCAAUUAGUGCUUUAUUUCAUGAGCACCAAAUUCACCCAAUAGUGUUUUGAUUUAAGGAAGAGCUUGAAAUUCACAAUAACGGGUUUCAUUUAUCAGAGCCAUAUGGGACUCAACAUCUUUGGAUAUAUUUGUAAGGCUUUCACAAAGAAGACUUUUUAGACAUCUCAGAUUUCACCGAUUGGAGGGCAAUCUGGAUGAAUAUCUUUUUUUGGAAAAGAUGAACUAUCGUUUUCACAUGUAGUCUCCAAUUUCAGUAUUCCUUGAGAAGCUCAAAACAACAACAACAACAACAACAAAACAAAACAGGAAAGCGUUAAGUAAGUCUCAGCUUAUUAGCUUUUACUGGAAAAUAAAGACCAUGAUUCUUAGAUCUGGUUCAGAAUGCCAAGUGAAUCUUUGAUGUUGAAAUUUGGCCACCUAAUCUUUGCAGUUUGUGAUGGGGCAUUUAUGAAAGAGAAGGUGGGUUCUAAGUCUCAACAUAUUUGUGCACUUUUUGCUAGUUCGGUCUUGGUCAUAUGUCAGUGGAUUCUUGGGACGCUUUCUGCAGCAUAGCUAACUGAUUAACAUGAUGAUACUUUUUAUAUUUACUCAAGAUUAUUUCUUUGUUCACUCCUGAUUUUCCAUAAUUUUCUGAUCAUUAGGGAUCUAUCUUAAUGCAAAGUAUUCUUGAAGAUGUUAAUAUAAAUUAAUCUUUUAAAAAAACAAAUCUCAUAUUUUUCCACUGAUCUGUUAAUUUAGAUAUUAAAAAAACAGAUUGACCUUCAUUUGGCAAUUGUUGUUAAUACUUUAAUUUUUGGUUCACAGAUUUUGUUUAGUGGGCUAUAAAUGGCCUAUAAACAAAUAUUUCAGUGUUUACUAAUUAAAAAUCAGUAUUUUUUUUAAGCAUAGAGUGCUAUUGUGUUAUGAGACAGGCAACCACUAAUUCUGUUAGGUUUUCAACUUUUUAUUUUCUUAGUUCUCUAGUCUUUUUUUUUUUUUUUUUGGCACUCUUCAUGCAGUAUGGUAAGCCUGGUUAAGUCAGAAUAUUUACAAGUAGUAAAUAUUACUGUGACAGUUGCUACUUACCUAUACAAAGUCUAUGUAAACAUCGUAAGGAUGAUAAUUUUAAUUUGUAAAUUGUUAUGGUAAACUGGAAAUUACUUGAAAUAACUCUUGCUCAUCUUUAAAUACCAUUUUAUUGCAUCUAACAUUAUUUUACUAUCCUUUAUUAAAAAAACUUUUAACACUUUAUUAGCUAAUAGUGCUUAUAUUAGCAAGUUUUAGUUUUCACAGACAAUAUCCACUAAACUUUGUUCAGUUAUGAGCAUGUUGAAUAAUACUAAAUUAAAACAAAAUACAGUAUAUUCUUGGUUACCAUUUACAUUUUAUAUUAAUACCAAUGUCAUAUAUUUUAAUGCUAUUUCAAAAAUAUUUAGAAACCCUCUCUCUGCUCCCUACCAUUUCUUCUCCAAUAUAUAUCCUACUCUACAGAGAGAGCACUUAGGAAUUUGUUAUGUAGCCCAUCUCUAUCAUGCACACCUAUAUUGCUAUGGGUCAUUGACCCCUAUGCUAUAGGCCAAUGAGCCUGCUGGACAAUAGGUAGAAAAUUGGAAUUAUAGCAUGAGCUAUAAUUAUAGCUUAACUGCUUAAAUCAACUUAACAUGAAUUGUGCUGAAUGGCUGAAUAUAUUCUUUCUAUAUUUAUUUUGUAGUCAAAUGUUCUAAAAUAACUUUCUAUAAAAAGUAUAAUACUCUUAGGUUUAAGUUUUAUUAUUCACCUUUGUUUACAAACAUAGGUAUUGUAAUCCAAUGAGGUUUUUCUUUGUCUCUAUCAUUUUAUCACUGAAACCAUCUGUGUAGAAAAUAGUAUGCUUGGUUUUAUCAUUUUAAAUUGUUUUCUAUUUUUGUUAUUUUGUCCUCCCAACUUGUUUUCACCUUAAGUAUUCAGGCUCAAGUAUAAGGCAUUUUAGUUUUCACAUUCAAGAGGUGUUUCUGCUUUCUUUCCCGUCCGUUUGUCCAUAUGUUUACUGGUUUCUGAUAGGCUGUGCAGUGAGACAGCAGUUUACUAUCUGUGUGUGUGUGAAAUUAGCUAAUUGGUGUUAGCAGAAAUAUUUUCACAUGUUUUAUAAGCAAAGUGCAGCAAGGUAUAUAAAUGUAGAUAUGAUCCAGACACGCGCACACUCACGACUGUCACUGCUCAUGCAUAGGCGCUCAGAAGUAAUUAAUGUUAAUAAGAUUUUAAUGUGCUUGUGAGAUCAUAAUGAGGAGAAAUGAAUGCUCUGAUUAGGAAAAGAUGUGUGUUUUAGGCUCUUUUAGGUUUUGGUUAUAUUACUGUGAUCUUUCUGCUGGGGUUUAAAAAUGAUGAUGAAGGAAGAGAAACUGUUAAAGUUUGUUCUACUCAACAAUUUUGAGAUUUAUGUGAUUCCCAGGGUUGUUUUAGAUAUUGCUUUACAUAGAAUCCAGAGAAUGAUGAUUAUUUGAUAAAAAGAGGUAUUUGCCUUUAAUACCCAGUUGUUUAGUUGACUUUCUUGGAUAUUAUCACAUUGAAGCAUAAUUAGAAACAGUUUUCCCAGUGCCAGUUUGUAAGGGAAUUCAUCAAUGUUUCUUCUAGUACUUGCAUGAUAUCCUAUACUGGCAUUUGUUUCUGUGUAGGAAGGCUGUUGAUUUUUGUAUGUUAACUUUAUAGUCUCCUAUUUUGCAAAAUUUUCUUAUUGUUUGUGGUAGCCCAAGGUGGAUUUGAGUUCCCCUUCUAGUACAAUGUUUGAUCUUUGUAAGACCAUGGACAGCUUAUUCUGAGUGUCUUAGUCAAUUUGGGCUGCUGUAACCUCACAGUUCUGGAGGCUGGAAGUCCAAGAUCAGAGUGCCAGCACGGUUGAGUUCUGGUGAAGACCUUCUUCUGGGCUGCAGACUGCUAACUCUUCAUUGUGUUUCUGGUAGAAAGAGAUCAAGCUAGCUCUUGGGGGUCUCUUUUAUAAGAGUACUAAUCCCAUAAACCUCAUGACUUUAUCUAAUCCCAGUUACCUCUCAAAAGCCCCAUCUGCUAGUGGCAUUACAUUGGGGGUAUAGUUUCAACAUAUAAAUUUGGGCAUGAACAUUCAGUUUGUAACACUGAGCUAUUUUCCUCAUCUGUAAAAUGCAGAUAAGAAAGCCAAACUAGAAUGAUGGAGAAUAAAUAAGAUCAUAUCGUAAACACCUAAUAUUUUCCCCAGCACAUUGUAGGCACUCUAUUUCUAGUAUCCAUUAAUAAUGUAAUGUAAUGUAAUGCAAUAUGUCACUUGAGCAAUUAUUUUUAAAGUAUGGAUAAUAUGCAAUUGAAUUAUUGAAGGUUUAGCAUAUCAGGGUUUUUACGAAGAAUGGAGUGAAUUAAAUUAAUGAACAGAACUUAAACUUCUUGAUAAACAUUUGUGAUUUAAGACUCUAGGGGCAGGGCGCAGUGGCUCACACUUGUAAUCCCUGCACUUUGGGAGGCCAAGGAGUUCUUCAUGUAUUUUGGAUAUUAACCCCUUAUCAGAUAUAUCAGGGAAUUCACCCCUGCUCGCCACGCCCCAGGCUGCAGACCAGUAAUGGUCCCUGGCCUGUUAGGAACUGGACUGCCCAGCAGGAGAUGGUUCCUUGUUAAUAUAUAGAAAUGCAGCUGAUUUUGUCUGUUGAUUUUGUGUCCUACAACUCUAUUGAAUUCAUUUAUUAAUUCUAACAGUUUUUUAAUGGAGUCUUUAGGAUUUUCUGUAUAUAAAAGCAUAGACUCUACCAACUAGACAAUUUUACUUUUUCCUUUACAAUUUGAAUGGCUUUUGUUUCUUUUUCUUUCCUAAUUGCCCUGGAACUUAUGUGGAAGAUUUUAGCAUAAAAUUUUGGGAGCAAAGUUUCAUAAUGCAAAGUAGUAAUUAAUGGUAGGG
rnacentral:lncRNA from 1 species